rnacentral:tRNA from 1 species
GCGCCCAUAGCUCAAUUGGAUAGAGCGUUUGGCUACGGACCAAAAGGUUUGGGGUUCGAAUCCCUAUGGGCGCACCA